rnacentral:rRNA from 1 species
AAACGUUUGGAAUUAGUCAUGUCGGCAAGAAAUCAGCCUGGCUUUUGAGCCGGGUGCACUUUCUUGUAGGCAGGUCAGCGUCAGUUUUGGUUGCCAGAAAAAAGUUGAGAGAAUGUGGCUCGCUUCGGUGAGUGUUAUAGCUCUUGGCCAAUAUGGUGACUGGGACUGAGGUCUGCAGCCAACCGGUUUACCGUCAGGGGACUUCGUGUGCUAGUGGUGGUCUCUUUAUGAACAGCUUGCUGAUCAUGAUUUGAUAUGCUGCUACUCGCGCGUCUGUCUCUCUUCUUGGCUUAGGUCGCUGACUUAAUGAUUCCAAAUGA